rnacentral:rRNA from 1 species
GGGUAAUAGGGAGGGGUGGGAGGGUUAAUUGGAAUUUCCUGGGGGUAAAGCGCAUGCAGGUGGUUUGUUAAGUCAGAUGUGAAAGCCCGGGGCUCAACCUUGGAAAUUGCAUUUGAAACUGGCAAACUAGAGUACUGUAGAGGGGGGUAGAAUUUCAGGUGUAGCGGUGAAAUGCGUAGAGAUCUGAAGGAAUACCGGUGGCGAAGGCGGCCCCCUGGACAGAUACUGACACUCAGAUGCGAAAGCGUGGGGAGCAAACAGGAUUAGAUACCCUGGUAGUCCACGCCGUAAACGAUGUCUACUUGGAGGUUGUGGCCUUGAGCCGUGGCUUUCGGAGCUAACGCGUUAAGUAGACCGCCUGGGGAGUACGGUCGCAAGAUUAAAACUCAAAUGAAUUGACGGGGGCCCGCACAAGCGGUGGAGCAUGUGGUUUAAUUCGAUGCAACGCGAAGAACCUUACCUACUCUUGACAUCUACAGAAGCCAGCGGAGACGCAGGUGUGCCUUCGGGAACUGUAAGACAGGUGCUGCAUGGCUGUCGUCAGCUCGUGUUGUGAAAUGUUGGGUUAAGUCCCGCAACGAGCGCAACCCUUAUCCUUGUUUGCCAGCACUUCGGGUGGGAACUCCAGGGAGACUGCCGGUGAUAAACCGGAGGAAGGUGGGGACGACGUCAAGUCAUCAUGGCCCUUACGAGUAGGGCUACACACGUGCUACAAUGGCGCAUACAGAGGGCGGCCAACUUGCGAAAGUGAGCGAAUCCCAAAAAGUGCGUCGUAGUCCGGAUUGGAGUCUGCAACUCGACUCCAUGAAGUCGGAAUCGCUAGUAAUCGUGGAUCAGAAUGCCACGGUGAAUACGUUCCCGGGCCUUGUACACACCGCCCGUCACACCAUGGGAGUGGGCUGCAAAAGAAGUGGGUAGUUUAACCUUCGGGAGGACGCUCACCACUUUGUGGUUCAUGACUGGGGUGAAGUCGUAACAAGGUAACCG